AUAAGUUUCACCCAGAACUGAUAUUUAAAGAUACCUUGGAGUCCAUUUUUUCUCUUAGACUUUCAUUUCUCAGUUUGUAUCUUCAAAUUACUCAUCAAACAAACCAACACACAGUAUUUCUUUCAAUUUUUCCAAGGCCUUGUCUAAUUGUAAAUGUGCCUUACAUCUAAAGAGGCCCUCACUGUAAAAAUCUGAAGUGGGUUUAGGCAUAAAUGGGAUUAAUUCCCAAAGAAUGUCCUUUGCUCUUCCUCCCAUAAUUUCAUUUGCAGGGUCCACAGGAUGAAUAGCCAAGCAGGCAGUGAUGUGGAACUGGAGGACAGGCCUUGCGGGGCCUGUGCUGCUACACCGCAGCCUUCAGGUUAUGUUACCUUGAUAAUGUCACAGCUGCAGGAACCACACCGCCCACCGUACAGGACACAGGAAAUCCAAUUAUCUGCCUUUUAAUGUGUGGGAAUUUUACGCUCUCAUUUCUUAGACUCUGGCUCCAAUUCUGCCUAGAGGCAAACCCACCUGAGAAAGAUUUCUGGGAUUGUUGUUGUUGUUUUUAGUUUUUUUACCUGAGGAAGAAUGUCCACUCAUUUUGGGCUAAAAACAGUAUUAUGAAUAAAUCAGACUCAAAAUAGUUUGUCGAUGAAGAUAGUUUAUUAAGGGGUACAGAUCUUACUUUAUUUCACUUUCACUAAAUCCUCAAAGUGCCUGUAGUUUUAAAUUCAAGUCCAUGUUCUCAAUAACUUUGCACAAAGUACAGCUCAACACAGAAAGACAAAACAAGAACAGCCCUGAUUCACCCUGGAAUUACUAAGGUCUAUGUGAGGGCUGUAUAUGGGAGCAGGACCCCCACCUGCCCGGACCCCUGACUGUUUUUUUGAUUUAAUUAAAAGGGAGAGGGUGCAUCAAUUUCAGCCGCGUGGCAGGGAGAUGACAGUACACAAAUUGAAAGUAAGUAUCUCAGUGGAGCAGGGAGGGGGGCUGUUCUGUCAUUAACAUGGAAGACAAUUCUGUGUGCAAUGUAACAAGAUUAGAAACAUUAUUAUCAUUCUACCUCUAGACAUAGAGCCAUACCAUGUAGAAGAGACUAAACAAUGUCAAUAAACCUCUGUACUCAAGACGGAGUGAGCGUGGCUGUUAUAUUGAGCUGAAUUGAAUACCUGCAUAGGCAAGUGUUUUUAUACUGUCUCUGAAAGCGUGUGGCUCAUUCCUUGGGGACAUCUCAUAUUUUCAGGUAUUUUACUUCACACAGCAGUGAUUAUGUAUCUCAGAUGUGAUUAACCCCCCUCCCCCAACAUCUAUAUUACACAUGCAGUAUUUUAGCAUCAGGGUUCCCUUUCGGCCCGAUCCGAAGGAAUGUGAAUGGGCUGCAAGCUUGAAGAGGAGCCCCAUUAAUGAACAGUAAAGACAGAUGAGUCUCUCUCUUGCCAAGCAGGUUGCCUCAAUUGGAUUAGUGAGGCUGAGAUUGGGAUGGAUAGCUGUCUAUGUGCCAAGUGGCCAUUAGCCCUGACCAAUAUGCCAAUAUGAUGGUACACAAAAACAGGCUCAGGAUUCCCCUCAGUGAUCUCAACACUCAGACCGGAGUCAGCAGCUGAUUCCUAAAGCAUUAAAACUGUACGCACAUACUGAUAGGCUAUAAACAUUUAUCCACUGUGAUAAUAUGAAGGUUAAGUGGUUGAUUUAAUAGCCGGCGUCUUUAAUUUCGAGUGGCACCUGGGCCAGUUUCCCGCGUUGCUUUCAUUGGAAGGGAAAUACAAAUAUCACAAUGUAGAACAAGCUAUCUGUCAAUGGCUGUCACGCUGUACUUUAUGAAUGGAAAGCUGCCCGUUCCUGGCAUGUAUUAGAGCGAGGUGCCGUGUUUCCGAGGCUGAUGUCAUGUUCUCGGCAAGGCGGUGAUGGGCACUGUAGAUGUCAGUGGACACCAGGGGCCCCUUCUCCAACCAACUAUACAAAUGGGCAUGAGUGUGAAGAGCUGGGGAAAUGUUAUCAAUCACCCGGCAUCCCAGUGGAGGAGCUGCUGGCGUUAGUGUAGAGAGUCCCCCUCAUACUGAUCCGUAUAAAAGGCUGUGUGAUGUAUUAGAGCAGAUGAGCAGGGGCCGGCUGUGACACUUGACUGACAGCUCAUUUGACAGCCUUAGGAAAGUGUGCAGGGAAGUUUCAAUCUAAUCUAAUGCUGCUAGAGGAAUGAAAUUGUGGUGUGAGAUUAUGUUUUCAUGUUACAUCCCCUUUAGGACAACACGGGCCGCAUGGGAUGGAUAUGAUGUGGAUGACCCCCUUGGUUGAAAAGGUAAAGACAGAGCCAGACGUAGCGGUGGAGUCCCAGCCAAGACCUCCUGACCCGUGACUCUUCUCUCAAUCCACUUCAGUCCAGGGAAUCAGGUUUGUGAAGAAAAAACAAGAAACUGAAACCCGGCUCGCAGCUCUAUCUGUGGGUAAACAAAAACAUUUUUGUGUCAUGCAUUAUCAAUCAGCUGUCUGCUGGGGCUUUCCAAACAGGUAAUCUGUGUCAUUCAAUCGCUCUACCGCAGGAGCCGGGUCCUCCUGAAAGAGGAUAGCAACAAAACAGACAUUAAUAUUAAGUGCAGGAGAGAUCAGAUUCUCUUUGGUCUGCUCCCUCUUCUUCAUAAUAUCUGGUGAGGCCACCUGCAUUUUGAAAUCAAUAUUUCUCUUUCUCCAGUAUAGGUUUACACUCGUGCAUUAAAAGCUAGACUACAGUUUCUUAUGAUAAACUGCAUGUUUUUGAUGGUAAACUUCAGACCUUUGUUGACUUGGAAAAAUAUUUCCUUGUGCAACACUCAAAGGUCAGAGAAAAUUUCUAAAUUACACCAGAAAAUACUUUUUUGACCAGAAAACUGUUAAAGCCCAAGAGACUCAAACCUCCCAUAGUGCACUCCCACAAUAAUCAAUCAUGGAGGGCUAAUUAGCCAUUUUACAGCUAUAAAAAAGACAGUCAGCUCUUUUCAUAAAGCGUGACCUACCCCCCCCUUAAGUUAGGGACUUUUUUUAAAAUAUAUUUUUCCUGACUUCUGAAAGUUAUCAGGAACUUGUGCUGCACUGAGGAACAAAGCAUUGUGUUUCCAUAUCAGAUGAUUUCUUCCCCUUUUGUCCAGAGUGUUUUUUUAUUUGUAGAAUGAGGUCAGUGGUUGGACGGUAAGCAUUGAAUGUCAGCUGCUGUUUUUCCAUUGAAGCCGACCAUACUCAGGUGAUCAGCCCUUAGACAGGUCUGCUUCUGGCCUCUGAGCAGCCCAGUGACCACAAAACCUGAUCUCACACGAUCAAGCAGCUAGUGUCUACCAGGUCUGAACCCUGUGCACCAUGUCACACCAUCAUCUCCUGCUUCUGCUUUCUCGGACAUGUCUUUUCCUCUUCCUGUCUUUUGUGUCCACACCUCUCUGUGCAGUGGUGUCCAUGUUCCCCCGCCAAUCCCGCUGAGGCUCUAAGACUGUUCGUAUUGUCUAAGUGAUCAUUAAAAUUUAUGGCAAGCUGACUUCAUCCAGCUUGCGAGGCCGUGCUGGCAUAAGUCAUAAUUAUGUGAUGACACUGUAAGACAGAGCGUCCACGCUGGGCCCCCUUCUUCCAGGCAAGUUAAAUGAUAUAAUUAGCCCAGUAAGAGGUGAGCGCUCCGGAUUGGAUAAGUUAUUAAAUGUUUGGAUGAACCUGAGCUCCAUUUCCCUAACUAUCACUGUCUUCCUCCCGCUCUGGCCCCCUUCCCUCCUCCCUCCAUGAGCCCAUUAGCAGUUAUGUGAUACUAUAUGCUGAUGGGGCAGUGGACAGAGAAAGUGGGUAAAUUAAGCCUGACCACUGCUUGUGUUAUGGACUGCUCUUAUAAGGUGCCACUGAAGGACACGGCAAGAUUCAAAAGAACAGCACAUCACUGAGGGACACGCGUGCACAGCAGACCUGAUGAUACAGUAAUGUGAGCUCAGCUGAGUUUGUCAACUUGAAAAAUGUCCCCCUGACCUUUGUUGUGUGAGUCCCAUUUGUUAAGAACUCAUAUAUGUGGUCAGUCUCAGAGUUUUCACUUCAUAGAAAUUAUGAGAGUGAUUUUACUGUACAACAAACGCAGGUCAGACAAGCAAAUGUGUCAAAUUUAACCCUUCAGAUUGCUCAAUUUGUCUGCAGUUAAGCUGUAAUGGAAGGCAGUACACCAAGGUUGACAGGACGCCUACUCCUGGGCCCUUGAGCCUCAGUGUGUGUGUGUGUGUGUAUGCCUCUGUCUGUGAGUGUGUGCGUGUGUUGCACUCCACCAGAGGGUCUCACCAAGCAUGACUGCGUGUUAUUCACACUGACGAGUUCCACUGUUCACUGUCACCUCUCAUUGUGAGGGGAAGUAAGCCUGUGGAGAGGGCUGCAGCCAGAGGAGGGGAGGAUUGAAAAGUCCCUUUUUUUUUUUUUUUUUACAAUGAAGCAAGGACUAGUUUCUGUUCCUGUUGUAAAACGUCGGCCCAGAUCCACUAAAGAGUGAACAGAGAGGAAGAUCUCCAGAUACAGCAUGCUAAGCUGGUCUGGUUAUAUUUUCAGACACAUUCUUCCAGACAGUGGCAGAGGCCUGGCUUUGUGUGUGGCCGUGUAGCGGGGAGGGGUGGGUGUUAUGGUGUUUGAUUUGUUGUGAAGACUCGAUCAGCAGGACUCAGCAGAGUCCAGGUUGGCCCAGCAGGCCAGCCGAGAGUGACACUUCCUCUCUCUGUUUCGUCCUGCAGAGAGCCCUGACAGCAGGGACCGGGUGCUGAGCUGCGUCCCCCUGUUCAUCAUCACCACAACCAACCACCCACAGUGGGCAG
rnacentral:lncRNA from 1 species